rnacentral:rRNA from 1 species
GACGAACGCUGGCGGCGUGCUUAACACAUGCAAGUCGAGCGGUAAGGCCCUUUCGGGGGUACACGAGCGGCGAACGGGUGAGUAACACGUGGGUGACCUGCCCUCAGCUCUGGGAUAAGCCUGGGAAACCGGGUCUAAUACCGGAUAUGACUCCAUGACGCAUGUUGUGGGGUGAAAGCCUUGUGCGGCUGAGGAUGGGCCCGCGGCCUAUCGGGCUUGUUGGUGGGGUGACUGGCCCACCAAGGCGACGACGGGUAGCCGGCCUGAGAGGGCGACCGGCCACACUGGGACUGAGACACGGCCCAGACUCCUACGGGAGGCAGCAGUGGGGAACCUUGCGCAAUGGCGAAAGCCUGACGCAGCGACGCCGCGUGAGGGAUGACGGCCU